UUUAAUAUUUUCAGCGUAUGGUGACGCUGUCAUUUUAUUGUCCUUUGAUUUUUGCUUAAAAAUAUACAGAGACAAUUUGUGGCAAAUUACAUUUUCGGAUUUUUUUUGGCUGCAGAAUGCGUGCCAUAAUUACAAGUAUUUAUAAUUUAAAUUUACAGGAGAUAUUUUUGAAAAAUUUGGCGGCUUUUUGCGCGCCUUGUUUUUGAAAUAUGUGUCGGUAGUUUUUUGCACGCCAUGUUUUUGAAAUAUUUGGCGGCAGUUUUUGCGCGCCAUGGUUUAAAUUUGAAUAUUACUUUACUUAGGAAAUAGCUUAUAACAAGGAGAAAAUAGUUUUGUUUAAGUAACCUAGGAAUAUAGUUGAGCGAUGACAUGGUAUCCAGCGAUGAUACUAUAACCGAUGGCGGCGAGGAUGAGCAGUUGCUGUCGUCAGAUGAGAUGGAUAAAACCGAUGCCCAUCCUCCGCUUUGGUUCACUUUCUGGCCGUCCAUUAGUUGUUGUUGUUGCUGCUGGCUUCACUUUUAGCUACUGUUUCGCGCGCGCCUCUGUCGGUUUUAUAAUCACAACUGACUUGCAAAAUUAGGCUAGGCGCGUAGGCGGGCUUUUUCGAUAGCUCAAAGGCACGGCGGAAUAUCGAUAUGCUAUCAAUUUCACGGCAGCUCAUUAUCGAUAUUUCGCGCCCUUUUGUUUGGCGGGCUUAUCGGCUAUUAUAUUUGCAGCCAGCCUAUCGCCUAUCGGGCAGAAAUACUGGAAUUGUUCAGGUUAGUAUUUUUGGAAUUCCAGUAUUUCUCCUGCGCUAUGUCCGUAUCAAUGGCAUAUUCAAGAAAGGGUCUCACUUCUCCAAGCGGAAAAAGAAGCAGAAAAAUUGCGUGUUAUUUCUUAUUUGGUGCUGUUUACGUUGAUGCUGCGGAGAUGCAAGUAUGCAGCGGCCGGCGUGGCUAGUCAACAUUGGUGCACACACAACUUUUGUGGAGGAGAAACGUGUGCCGCAGUCCGCGUCAUCUAAAGGCUUAUGUUUGUCUGUGUGUGUGCGCUUUGUUUAUGUGAGUUGUGAUGUUGCUUUCUCCUUUCUGAUACUGCAAAAGAAAAAUAUUAUUAAUGCUAUCAGCGUAGCUGCUCAUCUCGCCGCCGCAGAGAUGACAUCGUGUGCCAGGCAGCGGCCAGUCUGGCCCGUCCGGCAUGAUGCAAGCGUUCAGACUGUGGCGGGUGAAGAAAUGCGCCGCAGCCCAUCGACGUCUGCAGGAAACGCUCCGUUUUCUUUCUUCCAGACUUGGAACGUCGGUGACUGCCAUCCCGGAUGAUUGCCCAGUGGCCAAGUAAGGAGUCGGAAAAGCAGUGAACGGCAGGCUCGCCAUUGCACUCAGCAGGAGUCCGUAAGGAAGGAUCUGUCCGAGGGAAAAUCGACGUCUCAUAAUUCGCCUAUUGCACAACUGCUGUUGCCGCCGAUGGUGGCGACCGCGUCUCCGCUGUUGCUGCUGCUGGUGGUGCCCGCGUCGCUGCUGCUGCCGCUGCUGGUGGUGACUGCGACGCUGCUGCUGG